rnacentral:rRNA from 1 species
CCUACGGGAGGCAGCAGUGAGGAAUAUUGGUCAAUGGGCGCGAGCCUGAACCAGCCAAGUCGCGUGAGGGAUGACGGUCCUACGGAUUGUAAACCUCUUUUGCCGGGGAGCAAGCGUGAGUUCGUGAACGCACGUCGAGAGUACCUGGAGACAAAGCAACGGCUAACUACGUGCCAGCAGCCGCGGUAAUACGGAGGAUGCGAGCGUUAGUCGGAUUUAAUGGGUUUAAAGGGUGCGUAGGCGGGAUGCCAAGUCAGCGGUAAAAAUGCGGUGCUCAACGCCGUCGAGCCGUUGAAGCUGGCGUUCGUGAGUGGGCGAGAAGUAUGCGGAAUGUGUGGUGUAGCGGUGAAAUGCAUAGAUAUCACGCAGAACUCCGAUUGCGAAGGCAGCAUACCGGCGCCCUACUGACGCUGAGGCACGAAAGCGUGGGUAUCGAACAGGAUUAGAUACCCCAGUAGUC